CAAUGGGGUGAAGGGAGGCAGAGGAGGAAGACCCAGUAGGAAUGAGAGGAAGUCACAUUCCCAGGUAUCUCUCAUCAUUAGUGCAUUGUGAACAAAGUGCUCUUUCUUUUAGCAACAGGAUCCCUAGCUGUGGGGUGCAGAUCAAGAAUCAGACUCUCACUCUGGGGGGUCCCGAUGCACACCUGCCUCUAGCUGUACACUGGAAAGGAUGGGGUUCUCCUCGUCAUCCUGAGCUGUGCUCAGGCAUGAUCCAAACCAGCUCCUCCACUCCUUGCAAGAUUAAAAGUCAAGCAUGAAUCAGAGCACCUGCCCCCUCUGCAGCUUACUGACCUGAAGGAAAUCUCCCUCCUGAAGAGGAAGGUCCCAGAGGUAGGGCUGAGAUGGGAUCCAGCAAAGCACCUGCUCUGUUUUUGUUUUGUUUUGUUUUGAUGCCAGUGCCAUGGCAUUGGUGGAGUGUGUUUGGGGGCGGGGGAGGGGGGUUCCUGUAGCUCCACCCAUUGUCC
rnacentral:lncRNA from 1 species